rnacentral:rRNA from 1 species
AGCAAUGCGGCGACGCAAAGCGGAACUUGAAAGCCUGUCUCAGUUCGGAUUGGAGUCUGCAACUCGAGUGCAUGAAGCUGGAAUCGCUAGUAAUCGCGAAUCAGAAUGUCGCGGUGAAUACGUUCCCGGGUCUUGUACACACCGCCCGUCACACCAUGGGAGCCGACAACGCCCGAAGUCAGUGACCUAACCGAGAGGGAGGAGCUGCCGAAGGCGGGGUUGGUAACUGGGGUGAAGUCGUAACAAGGUAAC